GGGAAUGUAGCUCUGAGGGAGGGCACUUGUCUAGCAAACAGGAGGCCCUGGGUUCGAGCCCAAUACUCCUA
rnacentral:tRNA from 1 species